rnacentral:lncRNA from 1 species
UGGUGAGUAAACCUGGAUUAUGGUUGUUUUUUGAAAUUUUGUGUCAAACCUGGCAGUGAUUAUUCUAGAUGACACAGGAUUCCAUUCUAAGAUAGACUGCUUUUCCUUUUUAGUAAUCACGAAUCCAACACCUUUAUCAUGAGUGUCAGUGGCGUUUGUGUUACCAGAGUAGAUGAUGGUAUGACCAGUUUUUAACGUUUUCACUCCAGAUAUAUUCCAACUUACUUCACUGAGUCCUAACAUUUCAAUACUGUAUCUGUCCAUUUCUUUGGAUUUCUGCAAACUUUUUCAAUUUUG